rnacentral:rRNA from 1 species
UGCGUAGGCGGCUUUACAGGUGGGGUGUGAAAGCCCACGGCUCAACCGUGGAACUGCGCCCCAAACCGUAAGGCUUGAGGGAGAUAGAGGUGAGCGGAACUGAUGGUGGAGCGGUGAAAUGCGUUGAUAUCAUCAGGAACACCAGCGGCGAAGGCGGCUCACUGGGUCUUUUCUGACGCUGAGGCACGAAAGCUAGGGGAGCGAACAGGAUUAGAUACCCUGGUAGUCC